UCCUGUCCCCUCCCCAUAACGGUGUCAGCAAAGUACCUGAAAAACAGGGCUUCUCCUCACCCAACCCUUCAGCAUCUGUCUCCUUCGAGGCAUGCAAAGAAGACACCAAUAAAGAAGCUGCCCCACUCUCUCCUCAAAUCAGUCCCCGGGGCCAAGGUCUGCCAAAGCUCCCUCUGCCCCUCCUACCCCCCGCUGACCCCCUGCUGACCCCCUGACCCUGACACAAUCCACACUGGCCCACCCACAACCGGCCCCUCUCUCCCCAGCCCAUCUUACCACCAGAAUCUUCCUGGAACACAAAUUCAUCAGGGGUGGGAUCUUGCUCAAAGCCUUUGGUCCUGCCCCAUCCUGCCUUGACCUACAAACUUUUGAUGGCUUAGUGGCAUAUGGCCUUGACUUAACUCACCACACUUUGCGCCAAUUAAUUUGCAGCCUCGUGGGCCGCACACUGUCCCCCAGGUGAUCCUUGACUGCUUCUGCCUCUGUAUCUGCCCGCUCAGUUCCCCAUGUUCAUAUAUCUUGCUUGCUUCUGCCUCCUGCUAUUCAGCCUCAUUUUGAGAAUGUCCCCAUGACCCUCAUUGACACCCUGCUUCCUGAUAAGCUUUCUUGUUCUCUCUCUCUGUCUCCCAGUCCCCUUAACCAAACAUGACGUCCACCCCAUUCAUCUGACACGGGUGCAUGGAAGCUGGGCACUGGCAGAGCUGGUAACUCAUCCUGCUGUGAGAAGUGGGUGAGCCAGAGGGAGGAGACCAGGAUGACUCAGGGGUUUGUGGCCGGGGCCAAGAGAAUGCUGAUGUCUCAGCUGGCUGGAGGAGCCUGGUGGACGUGAGAUGCCAUCAUGGCCAAGUGUAGAUGUGCGCCAAGCAGUGGCAUGGGUGGGUCCGGAGAUCAGGAGAGCUGUGUGGGCUCUAGAUGCAGUUUAAAGAGGUCCCUGAAGCCAUGGGGAUGGGAUGUGAACUCAGCAGGGGACACAGCGACUGUGAGAUCCCUGGGAGAUCUCAGCUGGGGUGAUCCUGUGCAGUCCCCUUGGGCCCCUCUUAGAUGGCUGUGCCCCACUUCGCAGGGCUGGCCCUGCUUUCAGAGGCUAGGAAACAUGCUUCUGGAGAACAGCUUCUUGCACCCCUUUCUUCUUCCCAGGGCCCCCCCUUCCCAUCCACGGGCAGGCUGUGCCCUUUGGGCCAGCAAAGCCCUCAGAGCAUUUGAAGUCCCCGCCUGGUGCAUAUGGGGCUGGCAGGGCAGCUGCCAGCACCUGGCUGUCAGCCAGGCCCCCACCUGCUGGGUCAGGUGUCCGGCCUUUCCUCCACCCGCAGCUGCCGACUCGGCUCUGCUCCCACAGGCCCGGGCUCUUAGGACUCUCUGAGGCGUCUCCCACCCUCCCUAGGAACCUCAAGAAGUGGUUUCCUCCCGUUCCUGCCGAUGCUCAUUGGAAGAAGGACCCCGAGAGAAAUUCUGCACAACUAGGGGGAUGUGACCUGAACUUGGUCUCUCUCCCCUGGAAAUGCCAGCCACUGAGCGAGUCCCGGCCAAGGAGCGAAGGCCCCGGGGGCUUGAGUCUUGGCAGGCUGAGGCUCUGCCUCCCCACCAGCUGUUCCUCAGCCAACAGGCCUGUAAAUGUGUUACAAGGUGUCGGGCGGGUUGUGUGAGGCCAACCCAAGGUGUCGGAGCACCGGCAGGAACAGCUGAGGGGCGGCUGUCCAGGAAUUAAAGUGCUCCGCCGCUCCUUUCCCAGAGCCACAGCGCAUGCGUGGCUUCGCUACAGGAAAAAGGCUGGCGGAGGCCGGGGCACGAGGCCAAAAUAGGAGGAAUCCACAUGGCUUGGGGAGGCCAGAAUAAGAGAUCUGACUCCCAGCCCUCCUUCAUUUCUCAGGGUCCUACAGGGCUCUCUCUCAGGUCCUUUUGUUUAUUUAUUUAUUUAUUUAUUUAUUUAUUUAUUUGAGGGCCGUGCUUGUUGCAUAUGGAAGUUCUCAGGCUAGGGGUCAAAUUGGAACUGCACAUGCCAGCAGGGGACACAGCCACAGCAACGCCAGAUCCGAGCCACAUCUGAGGUCUACGCAGCAGCUCACAGCAACACGAGAUCCUUAACCCACCAAGCGAGGCCAGGGAUCCAACCCACAUCCUCAUGGACACUAUGUUGGGUUCUUAACCUGGUGAGUCACAAUGGGGACGCCACUCUCUCAGGUUCUUUCCAGACAUCCUGGUAAAUAAUAUACUUUCUGUUUUGUCAAGCUUCCUCUCUUUCUUAAAGGUCUGAAGAUCAUCCCAUUCAACCUGCCACGUUCGGGGCUCCCGAAGCCCCCUCUUGGGGAUUAAGUCCCCUCCAUCCCUGCAGGAAACAGGGUCACAGGCUGGAGAGCUGUGCAUCUCAUGAAAGUCACGGAGGGAGUCCCAGGAAGAGUUGUGGGUCACCACAGCUCACCACCUGCACCCACUGCUCCCCGAUCCUCUUGUCUGGUCAGAGAGGCUGGCAGGCAUCCACUACCUGGCCAGCCAUCAUCCUGGCUCAGCAUCCUGUUGCUCUACGAUAUUCUGACCAAGCCCGUGGUUUUGCCAGGCUGGGAGAAAAUAACUUCCAAUAGGGUCUUCUGAGAACCCAAAGUGAGGACCUGUCUCCUCAGGAGCAAUGCUGGCCACUGCCCCUGGCAACCAGGAUCCUCACACAGCCACCAACUGCAGUGAAUCAGCAGAGGCAUCUUGCUGGACAGGAAAAGGAGGAACUAUCUGAUGCUGAGGAUCCUACUCCCAGGUCUCACGGUGUCACAGACCUGAUCACCACCCCACGUGGCCUCUCCGCUCUCUGGCUCCUCACAAGGUGGUCCUACGUUGCUGCUGGGGAUGCUGGAGCACCCAGGCUCAACCUCACCCCUGGAAGCUUUCUGUUGGCUCAUAUUUACCUCCUUUUUUUUUUUUUCUUUUUCUUUUUGCGGCCUUGCCUGCGGCAGGUGGAAAUUCCCAGGCUAGGGGUUGAAUUGGAGCUGCAGCUGCAGGCCUACCCCACAGCCAUGGGCAACACUAGAUCUGAGCUGCAUCCAUGACCUACACCACAGCUUGCAGCAAUGCCAGAUCCUUAAACCACAGAUUGAGGCCAGGGAUCAAACCCACAUCUUUGGGGACACUACAUCAAGUUCUUAACCCACUGAGCCACAACAGGAAAUUCAGGUUUGUUUUAUCGAUAGAAUUUUUUAUUCUCAUAGAGCCUCUCGCUAGUUGUUAGUUUAUAAAAUCUAUAUAAUUUUCACCUGGAACAUUUUAAAAAAUAUACAAAUUCUCGAGCCCUUUCCUAGAGAUCUUGAUUAUGUAUAUCAGGGAUAUGAAUGACCCAGGAAUCAAUCUAAAAAAAAAAAAUCAAUCUUCUUUUAUUUUUUUAAUUUAAUUUAAUUUUUUUUUUUUUUGGUCUUUUUGCCAUUUCUUGGGCUGCUCCUGCAGCAUAUGGAGGUUCCCAGGCUCGGGGUCGAAUCGGAGCUGUAGCUGCCAGCCUACGCCACAGCCACUACAAUGUGGGAUCCGAGCUGCAUCUGUGACCUACACCACAGCUCACGGCAACAUCAGAUCCUUAACCCACUGAGCAAGGCCAGGGAUCGAACCCACAACCUCAUGGUUCCCAGUCGGAUUCGUUAACCACUGAGCCAGGACGAGAACUCCCAACUUCAGGACUUCUGAUACACACAGCCAGAAAAUAAGACUUAUCCAUAGUCCUACCCACCUCCCCAGUCUUUUCACCAACAAGGAUGAUCAUGAGGUUUAAAUAUUUGUGGCUGAGUUGUUGAACCAAGAAAGAGAGCCUCACACUCAUGCUUAGGAAGUUUCCGUUCCAUUUCAGCCACCUGUGAUCUUUCAGAUUUUAAGCCUGCUGCCAAAUCCUUUCCCAGCCUAAGGCAUCAGAACCUCUGGCAGGCAAGCCUUCCUCACUUCCAUCCAAGUCUCUAAAAAAAAAGGUGAGCUGGUCUCCAAGUCGCUGAUGGUCACCAAGCAGUGGCUUUGCCAGCCAGGGCAGUUCUGAAAUACUCAGCUCACUGCCUGCAACAUACUACAUGCUCAGUAAACAUUAGCUUGUGGGUUGGUUAUCGCCAUGAUACAUCUGCUAAAUCUGCUGGUCUCGGAUUCCAUGAACACUGCUACUCCAUGGAGAAGACAAGUUUGGACAGCACCUAUCUGAACAUCGGUUCCACUGGCCCAGUUGGCCAAGCACAUGAAAAGUGGCUCCAAAAGCCCCUGAGCUACAUACAACCAUGAUUGGUGUAGGAGAAGGCACUAUUCAGAGUCAUCCACCCAGGAGCCAAAGGCCAGACUAGGUUUAAACCUGCAUACUCUUGCGUUCUUGGCUGGUGUGAAUGUACAAUGGUUAAGGCAGCUUUGAAAAACAGAAUGGUGCUUCUUCAGAUGGUUCAUCAUCGAGUGAGCAUGUGAUCCAGCAAUUCCACUCCUAGGUAUCUACCUGAGGGAAAGGAAAACAUACGUCCACGCCAAAAACUUGCACACAAAUGCUCAUAGCCACAUUAUUCCUAACAGCCAAAAAGUGAAACAACCCAGAUGUCCAUCAACUGACAAAUGGAUAAAUGAAAUAUGGUAUAUCCAUACACUGGACUCUUGUUCAGACACACACACACACACACACACACACACAUAUGAAAUACUGAUAUGCUACAACACGGAUGAACCUUGAAAACAUUAUGCUCAGUAAAAGAAGCCAGACACAAAAGGCCACUUAUUAUAUGAUGUCAUACAAUAGGUGAAAUACAUAUGAAAUAUCUGGAAUAGGAAGUCCCUAGAGACACAAAGUAGAUUCAUGGUCAUCAGAGGCCGGGGAGAGGGAGAAUGGAGAGUAGCUGCUAAUGGGUAGGUUAUCUGCUAAAUGGGUUCCCUUCGUGGCUCAGCAGUUAACAAACCCAACGAGGAUCCAUGAGGAUGCAGGUCCAAUCCCUGACCCCACUCAGUGGGUUAAGGAUCCAGUGUUGCUGUGAGCUGUGGUGGAGGUCGCAGAUGUGGCACGGAUCCAGCCUUGCUAUGGCUGUGACGUAGGCUGGCAGCUAUAGCUCUGACUUGACCCCUAGCCUGGGAACCUCCAUAUGCCUCAGGUGCAGCCCUAAAAAGC
rnacentral:lncRNA from 1 species